GUAGGUGGCAAGCGUUGUCCGGAAUCAUUGGGCGUAAAGCGCGCGCAGGUGGUUCUUUAAGUCUGAUGUGAAAGCCCCCGGCUCAACCGGGGAGGGUCAUUGGAAACUGGGGAACUUGAGUGCAGGAGAGGAAAGUGGAAUUCCACGUGUAGCGGUGAAAUGCGUAGAUAUGUGGAGGAACACCAGUGGCGAAGGCGACUUUCUGGCCUGUAACUGACACUGAGGCGCGAAAGCGUGGGGAGCAAACAGGGAUUAGAUACCCUGGUAGUCCACGCCGUAAACGAUGAGUGCUAAGUGUUGGGGGGGUUUCCCGCCCCUCAGUGCUGCAGCUAACGCAUUAAGCACUCCGCCUGGGGAUACGGUCGCAAGACUG
rnacentral:rRNA from 1 species